UGGGGAAUAUUGCACAAUGGGGGAAACCCUGAUGCAGCGACGCCGCGUGAGCGAAGAAGGUUUUCGAAUCGUAAAGCUCUGUCCUAUGGGAAGAUAAUGACGGUACCAUAGGAGGAAGCCCCGGCUAACUACGUGCCAGCAGCCGCGGUAAUACGUAGGGGGCAAGCGUUGUCCGGAAUCACUGGGCGUAAAGGGUUCGCAGGCGGAAAUGCAAGUCAAUUGUGAAAGGCAGGGGCUCAACCUCUGUAAGCAAUUGAAACUGUAUUUCUUGAGAUGUGGAGAGGCAAGUGGAAUUCCUAGUGUAGCGGUGAAAUGCGUAGAUAUUAGGAAGAAUACCGGUGGCGAAGGCGACUUGCUGGACACAAACUGACGCUGAGGAACGAAAGCGUGGGUAGCAAACAGG
rnacentral:rRNA from 1 species